UGCUUUGAGAAGCUUUGGAACAGCACCGCUGGGGUCUUUUAAAGCUGGUCUUUUCAGCAGAACUUUACAGAAGAGGAAACCACGGGAAACCAAGUGAAGCCUCAAUUCCCACCCUCCUCCCUCCCCCGGGAGCACCUCCCUUCCAGCCUGCGCUCGUCACUUCAGGUGCCCAGUGAUUUCUCAAUGGACAUUUCCCUCUGUCUGGCAGGAAUCUGAUUUUCCCACCAGAUGAGUUCAACGCUGUCUGUUUUUCAAACCAUAUCUCAAAAGCCACACAGAACCCUGAGCACACAUUUCACCAGAUUUGACAGAUGAGCUUUGGUAUGAAGAAAACCUCCAAGAAUGGACUUGGCUGAGGUGCAACAAUAAACACCAGAAUCAACCAAAUGAUAAUACCAACCAGAAAUUUGGAAGAAAAACAAGUAAAUCAACAAAAGUCUCUUGUAUAAACUAAUAUUAAAGAUUUCUGAAGACACAAUUCCAACAAACUGCCACAAAGAAUGCUUAUUCACCUCAAUUAAUUGUUAAGUUGUUCAGUCUGAUUUUCAGUGUUGCUGCAUCUAUUUGGCUCAAAGAGAUUUUCUUCCUGUUAUGUCAUGAGGAUAGCUUGAUAAGUCAGCAUCUCUCAGUGUGUUGGUGCAACAAUCCUGAGGUAUGCUUUAUUUUCCUCUAGGCACUUUCUUCUUUUCUAUUUCUUUUUCUACCAAAGGAAAAGGGCACAAGUUUCACACCUUUUGUAAUUUUAGAAUUUUUAAUUAAUUAAAAUAUAAUUAUAUCACCCACCUCCUUUCCCUCCAACCCCUCUCAUUCAUACCUCCUAUUUCCUUGAAAUUUCUUUAUCACACGCACUCAGUCUGUUUAGUGUUACUAGUGUGUUUUACUGGGACUGGAUACUCAUUUAGG
rnacentral:lncRNA from 1 species